rnacentral:rRNA from 1 species
CGUAGGGUGCAAGCGUUAAUCGGAAUUACUGGGCGUAAAGCGUGCGCAGGCGGUUAUAUAAGACAGAUGUGAAGUCCCCGGGCUCAACCUGGGAACUGCAUUUGUGACUGUAUAGCUAGAGUACGGUAGAGGGGGAUGGAAUUCCGCGUGUAGCAGUGAAUGCGUAGAUAUGCGGAGGAACACCGAUGGCGAAGGCAAUCCCCUGGACCUGUACUGACGCUCAUGCACGAAAGCGUGGGGAGCAAACAGGAUUAGAUACCCUGGUAGUCCACGCCCUAAACGAUGUCAACUGGUUGUUGGGUCUUCACUGACUCAGUAACGAAGCUAACGCGUGAAGUUGACCGCCUGGGGAGUACGGCCGCAAGGUUG